AGCAGGGAGAGGUGUGGAGGCCUGGGAACAGAAUCAGAGACUGGACGGAGGGAGAUGGCCUCCCUGGGGCUCUCAUGAGGGGCCCGUGUCAGAGCUGCCCAACCAGUUUUGAGCCAGAUUUCAACAGAUAGCUGCCUUCUGGAAACAUCUAGGUGUGAAAGCUCUGGAGCUGACCACGAGAGCUGUAAUGUUUGAGAUGGAAGACAUUAGAAUAAGAUUGGUAUCCUUGAUUUUUAAGCAUGUAAAGUGAAGAUAUACCUAGAAAGUUCAAGAAUUCCUUCUCAGAGACAGGACACGGUGUUGGGGCUGCUGCUGCCAUCUUGUGACCAUGAGAAGAGCCAGCUAGUAGAGCAAGGCCUUCAGAGCAGAGAGAAGACAAUGUUCCGGGCCACUGGCCCUAUAGCCAACAUGUGUAUGUACUACACACCUUGAAGUUCCUUGUAUUUUAGAUG